rnacentral:lncRNA from 1 species
UAUAUGUUUAUUUAUCAUAUAUUUAGUACAAAAUACAGCUAUUUUGUAUAUCUAAUAAAGGUUGUGUUUCCAGUCUGUAUCACCUACCCUGUAUCGCAUACCCCGUAUCGCAUAGCUAAACCCGUAUCGCAUACCCCGUAUCGCAUGGUAAAACCCGUAUCGCAUACCUUUUUUUUUUUUUUUUUUUUGCUUAAGGUGGUACCUAACACUUUCACUAAAAUUAAUUUGGCUCGUUUAAUUUUAAUUAAAUUUUGACAAAGUAUUUACUUUGACCCUUUAACAAAAAUAUAAAAAUUUCAAAAAUUUUGAACCAACCGUUUUGUCAGAAAAAAUACACUGGUUAUAUAGCAGUUUGACAAACACCAAUUUUGAUCAUUAAGAAGCUUAAUAUUCCCUACACAACACUACGUAAUUAAAACGUUUAGCCGACUUUACAG